rnacentral:rRNA from 1 species
GAUGAACGCUGGCGGCGUGCUUAACACAUGCAAGUCGAACGGGAAACCUUUUAAUGCAGCUUCGGCAGAUUUAGCUGGUUUCUAGUGGCGGACGGGUGAGUAACGCGUGGGUAACCUGCCUUAUACAGGGGGAUAACAGUCAGAAAUGACUGCUAAUACCGCAUAAGCGCACAGGGCCGCAUGGUCCGGUGUGAAAAACUCCGGUGGUAUAAGAUGGACCCGCGUUGGAUUAGCUUGUUGGUGGGGUAACGGCUCACCAAGGCGACGAUCCAUAGCCGGCCUGAGAGGGUGAACGGCCACAUUGGGACUGAGACACGGCCCAGACUCCUACGGGAGGCAGCAGUGGGGAAUAUUGCACAAUGGGGGAAACCCUGAUGCAGCGACGCCGCGUGAAGGAAGAAGUAUCUCGGUAUGUAAACUUCUAUCAGCAGGGAAGAUAGUGACGGUACCUGACGAAGAAGCCCCGGCUAACUACGUG